rnacentral:rRNA from 1 species
UACGAAGGGGGCUAGCGUUGUUCGGAAUCACUGGGCGUAAAGGGCGCGUAGGCGGCUAGAUAAGUCGGGGGUGAAAGCCUGUGGCUCAACCACAGAAUUGCCUUCGAUACUGUCUGGCUUGAGACCGGAAGAGGUUAGUGGAACUGCGAGUGUAGAGGUGAAAUUCGUAGAUAUUCGCAAGAACACCAGUGGCGAAGGCGGCUCACUGGCCCGGUACUGACGCUGAGGUGCGAAAGCGUGGGGAGCAAACAGG